rnacentral:misc_RNA from 1 species
UGUGUGAGCGAGCUUGCUCGCGAUGAGGGUGUAUCAGUUGAUUGGAAUUGGGCUGAUCCACUGCUAUCGCGAGCAAGCUCGCUCCCACA